rnacentral:rRNA from 1 species
AAAUUGAAGAGUUUGAUCAUGGCUCAGAUUGAACGCUGGCGGCAGGCCUAACACAUGCAAGUCGAACGGUAGCAGGAAGCAGCUUGCUGCUUUGCUGACGAGUGGCGGACGGGUGAGUAAUGUCUGGGAAACUGCCUGAUGGAGGGGGAUAACUACUGGAAACGGUGGCUAAUACCGCAUAACGUCGCAAGACCAAAGAGGGGGACCUUCGGGCCUCUUGCCAUCAGAUGUGCCCAGAUGGGAUUAGCUAGUUGGUGAGGUAACGGCUCACCAAGGCGACGAUCCCUAGCUGGUCUGAGAGGAUG